AUCUAGGUGACUCAGUGGAUGGAGCACUGGGCUUGGAAUUCAGAAAAACUGAGUUCAAAUCUGGACUCAGAUG
rnacentral:tRNA from 1 species